rnacentral:rRNA from 1 species
GAUAAACGCUGGCGGCGUGCAUUAGACAUGCAAGUCGAACGAACGACCUCGGGCUUGCCCGGGGAAGUUAGUGGCGAACGGCUGAGUAACGCGUAGGUGACCUGCCCUAGAGUGGGGAAUAACUGCCCGAAAGGGUGGCUAAUACCGCAUACGGUCAUGAGUUCAUUCUCAUGUCCAAAGCCUUCGGGCGCUCUUGGAGGGGCCUGCGUUCGAUUAGCUCGUUGGUGAGGUAACGGCUCACCAAGGCGACGAUCGAUAGGUGGUCUGAGAGGAUGAUCACCCAGACUGGGACUGAGACACGGCCCAGACAACUACGGUUGGCAGCAGUCGGGAAUUUUGCCCAAUGGGGGAAACCCUGAGGCAGCAACGCCGCGUGAGGGAUGAAGGCCUUCGGGUUGUAAACCUCUUUUCUCAGGGACGAUAAUGACGGUACCUGAGGAAUAAGCCACGGCUAACUACGUG